rnacentral:rRNA from 1 species
GGCGAGUGGCGAACGGGUGAGUAAUACAUCGGAACGUGUCCUGGAGUGGGGGAUAGCCCGGCGAAAGCCGGAUUAAUACCGCAUACGCUCUGUGGAGGAAAGCGGGGGAUCUUUCGGGACCUCGCGCUCAAGGGGCGGCCGAUGGCAGAUUAGGUAGUUGGUGGGGUAAAGGCCUACCAAGCCGACGAUCUGUAGCUGGUCUGAGAGGACGACCAGCCACACUGGGACUGAGACACGGCCCAGACUCCUACGGGAGGCAGCAGUGGGGAAUUUUGGACAAUGGGCGCAAGCCUGAUCCAGCAAUGCCGCGUGUGUGAAGAAGGCCUUCGGGUUGUAAAGCACUUUUGUCCGGAAAGAAAACCUCUGGGUUAAUACCCCGGGGGGAUGACGGUACCGGAAGAAUAAGCACCGGCUAACUACGUGCCAGCAGCCGCGGUAAUACGUAGGGUGCGAGCGUUAAUCGGAAUUACUGGGCGUAAAGCGUGCGCAGGCGGUGAUGUAAGACCGAUGUGAAAUCCCCGGGCUUAACCUGGGAACUGCAUUGGUGACUGCAUCGCUCGAGUAUGGCAGAGGGGGGUAGAAUUCCACGUGUAGCAGUGAAAUGCGUAGAGAUGUGGAGGAAUACCGAUGGCGAAGGC